rnacentral:rRNA from 1 species
CCCAGAAGUAGGGGAUAACACCUGGAAACAGAUGCUAAUACCGUAUAACAGAGAAAACCGCAUGGUUUUCUUUUAAAAGAUGGCUCUGCUAUCACUUCUGGAUGGACCCGCGGCGUAUUAGCUAGUUGGUGAGGUAAAGGCUCACCAAGGCAGUGAUACGUAGCCGACCUGAGAGGGUAAUCGGCCACAUUGGGACUGAGACACGGCCCAGACUCCUACGGGAGGCAGCAGUAGGGAAUCUUCCACAAUGGACGAAAGUCUGAUGGAGCAACGCCGCGUGAGUGAAGAAGGGUUUCGGCUCGUAAAGCUCUGUUGUUAAAGAAGAACGUGGGUAAGAGUAACUGUUUACCCAGUGACGGUAUUUAACCAGAAAGCCACGGCUAACUACGUGCCAGCAGCCGCGGUAAUACGUAGGUGGCAAGCGUUAUCCGGAUUUAUUGGGCGUAAAGCGAGCGCAGGCGGUCUUUUAAGUCUAAUGUGAAAGCCUUCGGCUCAACCGAAGAAGUGCAUUGGAAACUGGGAGACUUGAGUGCAGAAGAGGACAGUGGAACUCCAUGUGUAGCGGUGAAAUGCGUAGAUAUAUGGAAGAACACCAGUGGCGAAGGCGGCUGUCUGGUCUGCAACUGACGCUGAGGCUCGAA